rnacentral:rRNA from 1 species
UACGUAGGGUGCAAGCGUUAAUCGGAAUUACUGGGCGUAAAGCGUGCGCAGGCGGUUUUGUAAGUCUGACGUGAAAUCCCCGGGCUCAACCUGGGGAAUUGCGUUGGAGACUGCAAGGCUGGAGUCUGGCAGAGGGGGGUAGAAUUCCACGUGUAGCAGUGAAAUGCGUAGAGAUGUGGAGGAACACCGAUGGCGAAGGCAGCCCCCUGGGUCAAGACUGACGCUCAUGCA